GUUUCACCGUGUUAGCCAGGAUGGUCUCGAUCUCCUGACCUCGUGAUCCGCCCACCUCGGCCUCCCAAAGUGCUGAGAUUACAGGCCUGAGCCACCGCGCCCGGCCCUUCCAGGCUGGAUUUUUAAUGAAACAAACUUUGGGGAGGUCGGGGCUGGCAGGGACCCUAGGAUCCUUGUGAUUUUUUUCUUAGCACUUGAUGUCAGGGACUGACAGUGACUGACUGGGGGAGACGGUCCUGCGGCCCCUUCCCUGGGGUGUGUUCUGGGACCUGUGGUUUGCUGGCGGAAACAAGUGAUGAGGCUGGUUAGCGGAUGUGGGAGGCUGUGGCCCUAGGGGGCCAUAGGGUGCGGUGGAACUGCAGGCCCUGCUGAUGACGGCAGCCAGCUGCUUCCAGGAACCAGGUGUCCAAGGCCACCUCUGCAGGGGCUUCCUCUUCAACCUGCCUGGGGUGAGAGCAUAUAAAACAAUGGACAAAAUGCUCCAGUUAAAAGACAAGAUCCAGCAGGGUGUCCGCUGUGCUCCUGAUCCAGCAAGGCGCCCCCUGCCACUCCCAAUCGGGCUAAAGACUUGCCAUUGCUCCUGCAUGGGUAAGUGCCUGGGUUCGUCCUAAUCGAGCUGAACACUAGUCACUGGGUUCCACGGUUCUCUUCCGCGACCCACAGCUUCUAAUAGAGCUAAAACAUUCGCCACCUAAGAUUCCAUUCCUUGGAAUCUGUGAGGCCAAGAACCCCAGGUCAGAGAACACGAGGCCUGCCACCAUUUUGGCGACCAUGAAGGGACCUCUAAAGCGGUGAGUAAUAUUGGACCACUUUCACUUGCUAUUCUGUCCUAUCCUUCCUUAGAAUUGGAGGAAAAUACCCGGCACCUGUCGGCCGGUUAAAAACGAUUAGCGUGGCCGCCAGAGUUAAGACUCACGUGUGAGGCUAUCUGGGGAAGGGCUUUCUAACAACCCCCAACACUUCUGGCUGGUUGAGAUCAUGGCACAGCCAGAAGUCUCUACUCAACAGUCGCCAAUCCGUGUGCGCUUACCUUUCCUUCUGACCCAUACUUCCUAGGUCCCGACCACGACUUUCUUCAAAGUAUAGCCCCCAAAUUCUCCUUACCUCUGAAUCUACUUCCUCUGAUGCCUGCCUCCUAGGUACUGAUUUGUUUUUCUAAGACCAGCCAAGCGGGCACAAAAGAACCAGCGGGUAGGCAAGUGUAGGAGCAAAACUGCAAGUUUAUUUUUGGUCACUUAAGGUGUGGGGAAGAGGUCUGUCGGCC